UAGGAGGCGUCGAGCGGCGGACGGGUGAGUAAUGCAUAGGAAUCUGCCCGGUAGUGGGGGAUAACCUGGGGAAACCCAGGCUAAUACCGCAUACGCCCUACGGGGGAAAGCAGGGGAUCUUCGGACCUUGCGCUAUCGGAUGAGCCUAUGUCGGAUUAGCUAGUUGGUGAGGUAACGGCUCACCAAGGCUGCGAUCCGUAGCUGGUCUGAGAGGAUGAUCAGCCACAUCGGGACUGAGACACGGCCCGAACUCCUACGGGAGGCAGCAGUGGGGAAUAUUGGACAAUGGGCGAAAGCCUGAUCCAGCCAUGCCGCGUGUGUGAAGAAGGCCUUCGGGUUGUAAAGCACUUUCAGUGAGGAAGAAAGCCUUGAGGUUAAUACCCUCGAGGGAGGACAUCACUCACAGAAGAAGCACCGGCUAACUCCGUGCCAGCAGCCGCGGUAAUACGGAGGGUGCGAGCGUUAAUCGGAAUUACUGGGCGUAAAGCGCGCGUAGGCGGCUUGAUAAGCCGGUUGUGAAAGCCCCGGGCUCAACCUGGGAACGGCAUCCGGAACUGUCAGGCUAGAGUGCAGGAGAGGAAGGUAGAAUUCCCGGUGUAGCGGUGAAAUGCGUAGAGAUCGGGAGGAAUACCAGUGGCGAAGGCGGCCUUCUGGACUGACACUGACGCUGAGGUGCGAAAGCGUGGGUAGCAAACAGGAUUAGAUACCCUGGUAGUCCACGCCGUAAACGAUGUCGACUAGCCGUUGGGCUCCUUGAGAGCUUUGUGGCGCAGUUAACGCGAUAAGUCGACCGCCUGGGGGAGUACGGGCCGCAAGGUUAAAACUCAAAUUGAAUUGACGGGGGGCCCGCACAAGCGGUGGAGCAUGUGGUUUAAUUCGAUGCAACGCGAAGAACCUUACCUACCCUUGACAUCGAGAGAACUUUCCAGAGAUGGAUUGGUGCCUUCGGGAGCUCUCAGACAGGUGCUGCAUGGCUGUCGUCAGCUCGUGUUGUGAAAUGUUGGGUUAAGUCCCGUAACGAGCGCAACCCUUGUCCCUAUUUGCCAGCGAUUCGGUCGGGAACUCUAGGGAGACUGCCGGUGACAAACCGGAGGAAGGUGGGGACGACGUCAAGUCAUCAUGGCCCUUACGGGUAGGGCUACACACGUGCUACAAUGGCCGGUACAAUGGGUUGCGAAUCCGCG
rnacentral:rRNA from 1 species